rnacentral:lncRNA from 1 species
AAAAAUUAGGCAGCCACCAUAUUUCUCUACAAUUCACCGAAACCAAUUGUCCCGCCCUUCAUUUUGUCAACCAAUUGCACCACCUAAUUGUCCUCCUUGUUAAGAAGCAUUUAAUGUAUGCAGGCGGUGGUGUUCGGCGCGACGGCCGCGGCGGUCCAGGGGUCGACGUUGGCGGUUAUGGGUGAGAAGAGCUUCCAAUGGAUGAAGCUGUGCAACAUGUUCACGAGAUUUAUUCACCCAAACGCUUCCUUCUGCUCAAGCCCAAAUACCUUCCAUGGAGACGACAAAGUAUCAGCGCAAAUAAAUAACUGCUUCCAUGAAUUUUUUAAUAUCACAGGUAAGGGCAAUUAGGACAAUCGCAAAAAUAAAAUAGACCACUGUUCAUUUGGGUAACUGUAUCCCAGGGAGUGGCGGAUAGGCAAGCAAGAUGAAACAGUGAAAUUACGCCGGGCCCUGCCUUAUUUUCGGGCCGUGUGUGAAACGUAGCAAGACCUACCAAACGAAAGGUUAAGUCGGUAUAGCUUUGCUAAGCCGGUAUCCCAAUAUAUUAAUUGGGACAUUACAAAGGGAAUACUUAUUAUUUAUGAAAUGUGAUCAAUUUUAGAUAUACAAAAGAAUCUUGUCAAACUAAUUGAC